rnacentral:rRNA from 1 species
AGUGAACGCUGGCGGUAGGCCUAACACAUGCAAGUCGAACGGCAGCACAGUAAGAGCUUGCUCUUACGGGUGGCGAGUGGCGGACGGGUGAGGAAUACAUCGGAAUCUACUUUUUCGUGGGGGAUAACGUAGGGAAACUUACGCUAAUACCGCAUACGACCUACGGGUGAAAGCAGGGGAUCUUCGGACCUUGCGCGAUUGAAUGAGCCGAUGUCGGAUUAGCUAGUUGGCAGGGUAAAGGCCCACCAAGGCGACGAUCCGUAGCUGGCCUGAGAGGAUGAUCAGCCACACUGGAACUGAGACACGGUCCAGACUCCUACGGGAGGCAGCAGUGGGGAAUAUUGGACAAUGGGCGCAAGCCUGAUCCAGCCAUACCGCGUGGGUGAAGAAGGCCUUCGGGUUGUAAAGCCCUUUUGUUGGGAAAGAAAAGCAGCAGGUUAAUACCCCGCUGUUCUGACGGUACCCAAAGAAUAAGCACCGGCUAACUUCGUG